GAGGCGCCGAAGGCAGUGCUAGUGACUGGGGUGAAGUCGUAACAAGGUAGCCGUACCGGAAGGUGUGGCUGGAUCACCUCCUUUUAGGGAGACCUAACCUACUGAAGUUUGAAAGCAAUCAGCAAAUAGAACGCAGUAAGGUCAUCUCGAAGGUCGUGCGAGGGGGAGAAACGGGAGUCACUUUCAAAUUUAGGUUCGUGGACAUGGGCUAUUAGCUCAGGUGGUUAGAGCGCACCCCUGAUAAGGGUGAGGUCCCUGGUUCAAGUCCAGGAUGGCCCACUUAUCAACCGUUGAUAAUCAUCAAUUGUUGAUAUCAAUGGGGGUAUAGCUCAGUUGGUAGAGCGCCUGCUUUGCAAGCAGGAUGUCAGCGGUUCGAGUCCGCUUACCUCCACCAAAACCACGAAAUGAUGAAACAAACUCAGCAUCAACACCACAGUCUAAAAGAAAAGACAAAAGAUGUUGUUGAAUGCUGAAAGAAAUUUCAGCAAAGCA
rnacentral:misc_RNA from 1 species